CGGAUAGUUCUUGGAGGGCUGCCCAUCGGUGCGGAGAGGUGCUGGGGACAGUGAUCUUUUUUGUUCCAAGCAACUGCAAGUUAUUGUAUGUACGUACACUGCGUUUGAAACUAGGGGCAGUGAGUGACAGGAGAAGCCUGUUACCAUCAACUUAUGCCAAGACCUGAGCCCUAGGACCAUGCCUCAGGACUACCUGGUAUGAUGACUCCUUGCUGUCCCCAGUCCACCUGGCCGUGCUGCUGCUCCAGUUUCAACUGUUCUGCCUGCGGCUAUGGAACCCUGACCUGUUCACCGGACGUGCUUGUUGCACCCUCGACAACUACUAUGAUUAUUAUUAUUUGACCAUGCUGGUCAUUUAUGAACAUUUUAACAUUUUAACAUCUUGACCAUGUUCUGUUAUAAUAUCCAC
rnacentral:lncRNA from 1 species